rnacentral:rRNA from 1 species
UACAGAGGGGGCAAGCGUUGUUCGGAAUUACUGGGCGUAAAGGGCUCGUAGGCGGCCAACUAAGUCAGACGUGAAAUCCCUCGGCUUAACCGGGGAACUGCAUCUGAUACUGGAUGGCUUGAGUUCGGGAGAGGGAUGUGGAAUUCCAGGUGUAGCGGUGAAAUGCGUAGAUAUCUGGAGGAACACCGGUGGCGAAGGCGGCAUCCUGGACCGACACUGACGCUGAGGAGCGAAAGCCAGGGGAGCAAACGGG